ACGUUUUGUGUUGAUCCUUGGACUCUUACCCUCAACAACGUUAUCUGGUUAAGUUCCGGAAUGAAGGCGGCCAAGAUUGGUGUUCGAAUCGGAGUUUCCAGAAAACGUGAUUUUCGGACCUUUCAAGGAAAUUCCAGAAUUGUUGGAAUCCAUUUCGUUAAGAAAACUCGAACUCGGGAAGGCACGCGUCAACCAAGUGAGUGAUGCCAUGGAUCGAGGCGGGAAUGCAUGCUGAAUCUUAAUGCCACAGAGGAGUGUCUCAGGGCGUCUAGGAGUCUGUGCAUAAUUUUGUUUAGAUCUGUCAUGCAUUGUUUUGUAAACCGUUUACAUACUUUUCAUAC